UCAGGUUUAAAUGAUGCAAUUAUGGACACAUUUGCAAUGCUUCGUGACCUGAAAAAUAUUUUUAAAAGGUUGCAUGUCAUUGCCAAGAGCACUGGGUAAUGUAGAAGCUGUUGUCUAUUACUAUCUGUAAAUGUAAGUAUUUUUUGGUUCCCAAUGUAAAAAUCUUUUAAUGGCACUGGUAGAAUUAUUUUUCUUUGCAUAAAAGUGAUUUUUUUUUAAUAAAAUAGCUUUCAGUAAUGACAAUAAAUACUUCAUUAUGUCAAAUUAAUGGAUAAUCAAUGUGUUUAUCCUGAUGUUCUAAUCCUUCCCUGAAGAUAACAGAGGACAGAGCCCUUGUCCUGUUUGCCUAACAAGCAACCUUCUGCUCCUUUAGGGAAGUUACUGACCUCUUCUGGGAGGGUGAAGAAGGGUAAUAAGCAGAUCUAAAGGCACUGAGUAUAGCAUUAUGCAACAAAGUUAUUUACCUGAGAAUAUUUGUCAAAGACCAACAUCAACUGCCAGCAGCACCACUUCCAGCACCUCCAUCUACCCUGAAGUUUCUUUAGCAUAUACAGUUUCCUGUGGCUCUGUAAGAUGCUGCUGAAGAGGAUGGUCCUUCUCUAUUCAUUUGAUUAUGAUCUACCUAGUUAAAAAGACCAUGUUCUGUUUUCUCUGAUGGAUGAUGGGUAUUAAUUUACUUUGAUAUCCAGAUGUCCAGUGAUUGCCUGAAAGACUGUUCAAAAGUACCAGAGGCUUGAGGACUAUUAGUACAGAUAUUCUGAAAACAGUACAGGUCUGAAUAAAAAAAUACAGUCAGUCAAAUAACACUGAACAAAGGAGACAACAUGAGUAAUAGCAACCAUCCACUGUGAAAGUCUACAAACAAUACAGAAGCUGGCAAAAGAGCAUUUAUUAGAACUGUUUGGGGAAUACUGUUAGGUGUUAAACAGAUUUGCCAAAGUCAAAUGGAAAAUGAUUAAUUAGCAAAAAGCUUGAGCUAAGUUUUUCAGAGAAAUGGUCAAUCUUGUGUUUGUGUACAGUGCCUUCCACAGGACCUAAAAUCAGGACCAGGAAGCCACCUAGAACAGCAGCCCCCUGGUCACUAGUAGUGAUUAGCUACUAACUUGCUUAUUGACUCCAUUUUGCCCUGUGCCAGCUGGUUUAUUUCCAGAUUAUGUGCACAAACAGUUCUGGGGAAAGUCUGCAGCUGCUCCUGAAAGCAGAAUAGGCAAGAUCGCACUGAAAGGGCUCCAUCCAGAGUCCUCUAACCAGGCAGUCUUGGCACAAUUUACCCCUGCCCUUGUGCCACAGCCUGGGAAAAGCAUGUGCUCCUUUCUCAUUACAAAACCACCACUCACAAUAUUUCUAAUGCUUUGAAAAACAUACAGUAAAUAGCGACUUAGGCCCUGAAGAGGCUUUAGCAUGCAUGUGGCCAGUCUGCUUUGGAAGAAGCUAGUCCAAAGCAAUGCCAGCUUGAGCCAGUCUUCUGCAACAUGUAACUGCAGUGUAGAUCACCCUUCCGCUCACGCUCUGAUUUAACAGAAUAGAUAUUGCCACUAAGUACUGUGGCAAUUUGGACCGCUUUUUCCUUGAUAAAACUGUAGUCCAGGGAAAAGCAGUAAAUCCCUCCAGCUACAAAUGAACAUAUCAGCACUUAUCAUGGAUGGAGAGGCAAGAUGCUUAUGCCAGCUUUGCUACAGUGCCAUUCUUACCUUUGUGAUGGAAAACAUGUAUACUCUCCCUUCCUCUUUCUUCAGGUCAUUCAUAAACAUUGGUGCACCCACAAGCAGCACAUCUGUCACAGAAUCCCUGUUAACGUCCACUGAACACACUACACUGCCAAAGUAGGAGCCAAUCUGAAAUCAGUAGUAAGAGAUUUUGAAAAGCAUAAUGUUUUAACACCUUACUCAGAAAAUUUACACACAGAAAUAGUCCAAUACUAAUGAGUGAACCUACCCAUUGGAAUGAGAUUACUAUAUAACAUACUUCAGUGUUUGAAGAACCAUAUCCUUACAAUGUGUCCACUGUUUCUGCCCAGUAGUGGCUGCUAUGGCUUUACUACUCGGCAAUAAGAACGCAGAGAACAAGCUAUGGGAAGUAUGGGUUUUUUAUAUUAAACUGUGUGCAUGAAACAACCUGAUUUCUGGUUGUCUUACAAACAUACAAAACCAAAAUAAUAUAAAAUCACUGGAGAAAAAGAUGGAGAAAAAGAGAAUGAGUUUCUAAAUCUCUCUUUUGAUGUCAUCUAUUUCACAACUUCUUGGGCCAAGUGGAGCUCACUGAGCCUCUCCCAAUCAGAAGUGUUGACAAAUAAGACAUUAAGCAGCUUUGUACAUUAUCUUUUACCACUAACUGGAUGUCUUCCUAAAAUACUGUUUAAGAAUUACAGUUAACUUCAUUGAAAUAGUCUAGAGGCAGAAAAAAGUUCAAGUGGAUUCUAAAUGCAUUGCAAGAAAGGAAUUUUCAAAACAAAUUGCAGUUUACUGCUGUGUCAAUAAGAACAGAUGCUUGCCAAAAUCCGCAUUCAUGACCAAAAUACACUUGCCUGCUCGCCUCUCUGGGACUGCACAAUUGUGAUAUUACCAUCACUGUCAACAUCAUAAAUCACUAUUCUGCCAGUGUAGUUGGAUCUUGGAGCGCCAGCAACAAAAUAGGCGGAGCUCUGAGUUGAGAGAACAGCAACAGAAUAACCUAGGGAAAGAAGCCAACAUGUGUAGGAGACCGUUAACUAGAAGCUGUCAGUUGGUUAUCCAUAGAGGUGCAGAGGAUGAGUCAAUCUGGUAUGUUAAGUCAAAGAGACUGAUGCUUCCAGACAAGAAGUGAAGCUGUCACAUAUGCAUCAAAUUUGCAAGAGUCUUCUGGAAAGAACAAUGACACACAGAUCAAGUUGAAACAGGUUUGCAGAAUAGCAUGGACAAUAGUUUAGCCUACACAGACCACAAAAAUGUCAUGCUUGUGAAGGAGGUAGGAAAAAGAGUGCAAAGAAUGAAGAAAAAAAGAAGAAAUAUGAGAUGAACAUUUGGGCCAGCCUUCAAAGUAGGGAGGAACACCUAGCUUCUGCAAAGCUUGCAGUGCAGUUUCCCACAGCUCACCAAACCACAGCCCAAUGCUUUGGCUGAAUAGAACACGCUAUAUUAGUACUUGUCAGCUGAAGGGCUUAGUUUGAUUGAAGUUCUUUGAACAUUUUAAUCCUCGUUCCCAUUAUUCUAACAUUAUUUGCUUUCAGGAAACUUCUAAUACCUGCAAAUAUUUUAAACAUGUAUUAGCACUAUAAAUCUAGCAUUAGUACAUAUUUUGCAUUUCUGUGGUUUAAUUACAGCAAAUUUAUUUUAACAGAAGAAAACAAAUUCAUCCUUUAUAAAGACUAUAAACUGAAUAACAAAAUCCCAGUAAUUGGGCAGAAUGUGCAGGUCUUUAGUAAACUACCAGACAAUGUGAGAAGCACAGUCUAAAAGGAUUAUGUUUUCAUCAUUACAUAUACCAGCCUAAUUCAGGUGUGUGUUCAGACACCGUUUUUCUAGGGAAAGAACACCACUGGAAACUUGAAGUUCAACAAGCAAUAACAGGCCAAGAUUUUAUUCUGAAAGAUAAGGCCACAUGGUCCUAAGUAAGACAGCAUACAGCCAUUUCAAGUGUGAGGGCUCAGUACAGCACAGGGGCUAAUCUAGCAAGCUGUGAUAUGGUAGCUCCCCUAAUGGAAGGUAUCCCUCCCCAUGGCAGAGGGGUUGGAACUAGAUGAUCUCUUUAAGAUCCUUUCCAACCCAAAUCAUUCUAUGAUUCUAUGAUUUAGAAGGGGCUUCCCCAAGCUCGCGAGAGAGACCUGGUAUGGAGAGCUCUUGGCUGGGGAUAGAAGGAGGUUAGAAGGAAAAUGAAGAGAUAGAAAAGACAAUUGCAUUGUUUGCUUCAAAAAUAUUAAGGCCAGUAUUCUAGAAGUUCCUUGUGGAGACGUGAUGGAAGGAAAUUACCUUAUCUUUUAAAAAUUAUUCCAGAAAAGGGAGGAAUAGAAAUUCUGAGGAGAUCAGACAGGCAGAAGAGCAACUGCUCAUUAGUUUACAUUUAGAUUUAUUCAUUAUGCUGGAUACAAGUAAUACUAAGCCAUAGGAAAAACAGCAUGUUAUUUGCAAGAAUAGCAUCUCAUUAAAUAACAUGAAGGAUAAGUUAGUCAUAUGUGCUUCAUGUAGCAGCAUUAUUCAGGGAUAAAUCGCCAGAGCAGGCACAUUAUAGGUUUGCAGAAAACAUUUCAAUGAUCUGAGAAGACAAACUGACUGGCUUUACUGGGUCACAAAAACACAUGUCAGAAAACAUAUGGGCCUUAUAAAUGAGGCCUCUAUUAAUCUGCAGCAAUACUCCUGAAACUAAACUGAAUUGGAUAAGGCCAAGAAAAGCAUAAGAACAGAUGAAACAACAGCAAGUCAAUUCAGUUCAGUCAAUUCUGAAAUCAGUUCUUAACAGGAAUCUGGCUAGAGCAGAAUUUUCUAAGUUAUUCAGAAUCUCAAUGAAGGUUUGAUACGUGUCCAGAUUUGUAUUUCAGCUCCUUACCUAGGUAAGAACUAUGAUUUCUGUCCUGUAGGAUCUUCUCAAACACAUGGCUUGGAAAGGUGGUGACUACCUCUGAAGACUCCUGUACUACUGUUCCACUCCAGUCAUAGGCCCCAACGGCGCCCAGCAGCAGAACAUCCUUUAAAAAAUAAAAAUCAACAUUUUAGAACUACCUA